GAAAGGGCUGUAGCUCAGAAGUAGAGCAUCUGCUUUGCAUGCAGAAGGUUUCAGGUUCAAUCCUCAGCAUCUUCA